rnacentral:rRNA from 1 species
AUACAGAGGUUGCAAGCGUUGUUCGGAUUCAUUGGGCGUAAAGGGUGUGUAGGUGGUCAUGUUAGUCAGAUGUGAAAUACCGAGGCUUAACCUCGGAACUGCAUUUGAUACUGCAAGACUAGAGUACGUUAGGGGAAAGGGGAAUUCCAGGUGUAAGGGUGAAAUCUGCAGAUAUCUGGAGGAACACCAGUGGCGAAGGCGCCUUUCUGGAACGAUACUGACACUCAGACACGAAAGCAAGGGUAGCAAACGGGAUUAGAUACCCGAGUAGUCC